GACUUGAGAGGGUGAUUGGCCACACUGGAAAUGAGACCCGGUCCAGACUUCUACGGGAGGCAGCAGUAGGGAAUCUUCCGCAAUGGGCGAAAGCCUGACGGAGCAACGCCGCGUGAGUGAUGAAGGUCUUCGGAUCGUAAAACUCUGUUAUCAGGGAAGAACAAAUGUGUAAGUAACUGUGCACAUCUUGACGGUACCUGAUCAGAAAGCCACGGCUAACUACGUGCCAGCAGCCGCGGUAAUACGUAGGUGGCAAGCGUUAUCCGGAAUUAUUGGGCGUAAAGCGCGCGUAGGCGGUUUUUUAAGUCUGAUGUGAAAGCCCACGGCUCAACCGUGGAGGGUCAUUGGAAACUG
rnacentral:rRNA from 1 species